GCUGGCAGAGGUGGACCUGAGCAGCCUGGACAUCCUUGUAAGCAGAGAUUAACAGUCCUCCGCUUUCUGCCUUCCGCAUAACUGACUAGGGAGAAUUUCCCUAUAUUGGGAGCAGCUGAUCUUCCUGGACAGGGAGGAGCAUGUUCACCUGAGCAGAGGCCUGGAACCGGAAAGAGGAAUCGCCCAGGACCCCAGCCAGAGGAGAAACUGGAAGAAGUGAACCUGAGCAGCCUGGACAUCCUUGUAAGCAGAGAUGAACAGUCCUCCGCUUUCUG